GACGAACCGUGCGAACGUUGUUCGGAAUCACUGGGCUUAAAGGGCGCGUAGGCGGGCUGUCCAGUCUGGGGUGAAAUCCCGCGGCUCAACCGUGGAACUGCCUCAGAUACUGACGGCCUCGAGGGAGAUAGGGGCAUGCGGAACUGUAGGUGGAGCGGUGAAAUGCGUUGAUAUCUACAGGAAGGGCUGUGGGGAAGGCGGCGUGCUGGAUCUCUUCUGACGGUGAGGCGCGAAAGCUAGGGGAGCAAACGGG
rnacentral:rRNA from 1 species